rnacentral:rRNA from 1 species
UUGGAGGGCAAGUCUGGUGCCAGCAGCCGCGGUAAUUCCAGCUCCAGUAGCGUAUAUUAAAGUUGUUGCAGUUAAAAAGCUCGUAGUUGGAUUUCGGGGUCAGUAGGCUGGUCGUGCCUCAGGUACGUACUGGUCUUACUGAUUCCUCCUUCCUGACGAACCGUAAUGCCAUUAAUUUGGUGUUGCGGGGAAUCUGGACUGUUACUUUGAAAAAAUUAGAGUGUUUAAAGCAGGCUAACGCUUGAAUACAUUAGCAUGGAAUAAUGAAAUAGGACGAUCGAUCCUAUUUUGUUGGUUUCUAGGAUUGACGUAAUGAUUAAUAGGGAUAGUUGGGGGCAUUAGUAUUCAAUUGUCAGAGGUGAAAUUCUUGGAUUUAUUGAAGACUAACUACUGCGAAAGCAUUUGCCAAGGAUGUUUUCAUUAAUCAAGAACGAAAGUUAGGGGAUCGAAGACGAUCAGAUACCGUCGUAGUCUUAACCAUAAACUAUGCCGACUAGGGAUCGGAUGAUGUUAAUUUUUUAAUGACUCAUUCGGCGCCUUACGGGAAA